CACAUGCAAGUCGAACGCGAAAGUCCUUCGGGAUGAGUAGAGUGGCGGACGGGUGAGUAACGCGUGGGAAUCUGCCCUGUAGUGGGGGAUAACGUUCCGAAAGGGACGCUAAUACCGCAUACGCCCCAAGGGGGAAAGCGGGGGGAUCUUCGGACCUCGUGCUACAGGAUGAGCUUGCGUCGGAUUAGCUAGUUGGUGGGGUAAAAGGCCUACCAAGGCGACGAUCCGUAGCUGGUCUGAGAGGAUGAUCAGCCACACCGGGACUGAGACACGGCCCGGACUCCUACGGGAGGCAGCAGUGGGGAAUAUUGCGCAAUGGGGGCAACCCUGACGCAGCCAUGCCGCGUGUGUGAAGAAGGCCUUCGGGUUGUAAAGCACUUUCAGUGGGGAGGAAAGGGCGCUGGCUAAUAUCCAGUGCAGUUGACGCUACCCACAGAAGAAGCACCGGCUAAUUCCGUGCCAGCAGCCGCGGUAAUACGGAAGGUGCGAGCGUUAAUCGGAAUUACUGGGCGUAAAGCGCGCGUAGGC
rnacentral:rRNA from 1 species